GCUUGCUCUGCUGACGACCGGCGCACGGGUGCGUAACGCGUAUGCAACCUACCUUCUACAGGGGGAUAGUCAAUAGAAAUGUUGAAUAAUACCCCAUACGAUCUUUGAGUGGCAUUACUUAAAGAGGAAAGCUUCGGCGGUAGAAGAUGGGCAUGCGUCCUAUUAGUUAGUUGGUGAGGUAACGGCUCACCAAGACUACGAUAGGUAGGGGCCCUGAGAGGGGGAUCCCCCACACUGGUACUGAGACACGGACCAGACUCCUACGGGAGGCAGCAGUGAGGAAUAUUGGACAAUGGAGGCAACUCUGAUCCAGCCAUGCCGCGUGCAGGAAGACUGCCCUAUGGGUUGUAAACUGCUUUUAUACAGGAAGAAACCUACUCACGUGUAAGUAGCUGACGGUACUGUAAGAAUAAGGAUCGGCUAACUCCGUGCCAGCAGCCGCGGUAAUACGGAGGAUCCAAGCGUUAUCCGGAAUCAUUGGGUUUAAAGGGUCCGUAGGUGGUUUAUUCAGUCA
rnacentral:rRNA from 1 species